rnacentral:rRNA from 1 species
GACAGAGGGUGCAACCGUUGUUCGGAAUUACUGGGCGUAAAGCGUGUGUAGGCGGCCAUAUAAGUCGGAUGUGAAAGCCCCGAGCUUAACUUGGGAAUUGCGCUUGUGACUGGCGUGCUGGAGUGUGGCAGAGGGAGGUGGAAUUCCACGUGUAGCAGUGAAAUGCGUAGAGAUGUGGAGGAACACCGAUGGCGAAGGCAGCCUCCUGGGCCAGCACUGACGCUCAUGCACGAAAGCGUGGGGAGCAAACAGG